rnacentral:lncRNA from 1 species
UCUAAUGUGUUUGAAAUAUGUGUUUUCAAUCCUAAUAGUUUAAGAUGAGCAACAAAUGAGAAGAUACAUAUCUCAAAUUACAACCUUGAAAGCCUCCUUGAGAAUCUUUAUGAAAUUCAGAAUCUGAUUUUGUAUAAAAGCUUAAACUCAAUAUGAAUUUCUAGAUAAAACUACAGCUUAAGAAAAAUAGAAUAAUUCUGAUGCCUUGAUUGCUUGC